rfam:Frankia sp. Cc1.17 contig_66, whole genome shotgun sequence.
GGGCAGGUAGCUCAGUCGGUACGAGCGUCCGCCUGAAAAGUGGAAGGUCGGCGGUUCGACCCCGCCCCUGCCCA